GAUGAACGCUGGCGGCGUGCCUAAUACAUGCAAGUCGAGCGAACGGACGAGAAGCUUGCUUUUCUGAUGUUAGCGGCGGACGGGAGAGUAACACGUGGAUAACCUACCUAUAAGACUGGGAUAACUUCGGGAAACCGGAGCUAAUACCGGAUAAUAUUUUGAACCGCAUGGUUCAAAAGUGAAAGACGUUCUUGCUGUCACUUAUAGAUGGAUCCGCGCUGCAUUAGCUAGUUGGUAAGGUAACGGCUUACCAAGGCAACGAUGCAUAGCCGACCUGAGAGGGUAAUCGGCGACACUGGAACUGGGACACGGUCCAGACUACUACGGGAGGCAGCAGUAGGGAAUCUUCCGCAAUGGGCGAAAGCCUGACGGAGCAACGCCGCGUGAGUGAUGAAGGUCUUCGGAUCGUAAAACUCUGUUAUUAGGGAAGAACAUAUGUGUAAGUAACUGUGCACAUCAUGACGGUACCUAAUCAGAAAGCCACGGCUAACUACGUG
rnacentral:rRNA from 1 species